CCUACGGGAGGCAGCAGUGAGGAAUAUUGGUCAAUGGACGAGAGUCUGAACCAGCCAAGUAGCGUGAAGGAUGACUGCCCUAUGGGUUGUAAACUUCUUUUAUAAAGGAAUAAAACGCGGCACGUGUGCCUUUUUGCAUGUACUUUAUGAAUAAGGAUCGGCUAACUCCGUGCCAGCAGCCGCGGUAAUACGGAGGAUCCGAGCGUUAUCCGGAUUUAUUGGGUUUAAAGGGAGCGUAGGUGGGUUGUUAAGUCAGUUGUGAAAGUUUGCGGCUCAACCGUAAAAUUGCAAUUGAUACUGGCAGUCGUGAGUACAGUUGAGGUAGGCGGAAUUCGUGGUGUAGCGGUGAAAUGCUUAGAUAUCACGAAGAACCCCGAUUGCGAAGGCAGCUUACUAAACUGUGACUGACAUUGAUGCUCGAAAGUGUGGGUAUCAAACAGGAUUAGAUACCCUAGUAGUC
rnacentral:rRNA from 1 species